rnacentral:RNase_P_RNA from 1 species
AAGGUGUAGCAAGUGGUUGCUUAAAGCUCUUAAGCCUUAAGAGGAAAGUCCGAGCUGCUUUGGGAUAGGAUUUCAUUUAAAGAAUGACUAGAGUAAUCUAAGGGAAAGCGCAACAGAAAAUAAACCGCCAAUGGCAAGGGUGAAAAGGUGAGGUAAGAGCUUACCGGAAGCAUUGCAAAAUGCUUCGCAUUGCAAGCCCAAUCCGCAGCAAAAUGGGCAUGGUUAAUAUCCCAAAAUUUUAAGCCCAUUGCUAGAAUUUUACUGCAAGGUAAAAUGUAGAUAAAUAACCACAUAAACAGAACUCGGCUUAUAGCUGCACCUAAAGG